UACGUAGGGAGCUAGCGUUGUUCGGAGUUACUGGGCGUAAAGGGUGUGUAGGCGGCUAUUUAAGUUUGGUGUGAAAUCUCCCGGCUCAACCGGGAGGGUGCGCCGAAUACUGAAUGACUUGGAGUGCGGGAGAGGAAAGUGGAAUUCCUGGUGUAGCGGUGAAAUGCGUAGAUAUCAGGAGGAACACCGGUGGUGUAGACGGCUUUCUGGACCGUAACUGACGCUGAGACACGAAAGCGUGGGUAGCAAACAGG
rnacentral:rRNA from 1 species